rnacentral:lncRNA from 1 species
GAUCCCAGUCUACUCUACAAGAAGGAGUUGAUCGGCAGGAUUAAGGAGGUCAGUCAACACAUUUAUCACUCAGCCCGGGACAUCAUCAAGACUGCCUUACAUGAUCGGGGACAGCGACCUAACCUUCCAAAGGUUGAUGCGCUGAAGCGAACAGCUAACAGACAUCGGGAACAGAUGCGACCGCCUAAUCCAAAGGACCUUGGGUUCACCAUCAACCAUGAGUACCUCGAAGCCCAGGAUUUCUUCGUGGGCGACAUCCUUGUAGACUCUGCUCGCCACAUCCUCUUCGCUACUCCAAAACAGCGUGAAAUUCUCUGUACCACUAGAAGAUGGUUCAUAGACGGAACCUUUAAGGUAAUACUUUAAAAUUUUAAAAAGAGAUAUUUAAAAAUCAAAAUAUAAUCAUAUCAAUAUCUUUGGCUUGGAAAUAGCAUAGCAGUUAGUCUGUGGGUCAUAUCACUGAAGUUGUAUAUACUGUUUCAAGAUUUCUAUAAUACCAUGACCGAUACUAUAUAAUAGUCGAUUUAACGUCAGUAUUAAUAUAAAAGUAUUGAAUCCUGACACGUCUUGUCUGUGUGUUCAAUGUAUCAAUGUCUAUAAUAGUCUUAUUAUUGUUAUGGUAGUUAUACAAAAUAUUUGCAGUGUUUGUAUAUAUAUAUAUAUAUAUAUAUAUAUAUAUAUAUUACAGGUUGCUGAUGCUCCAUUCCAAGGAGGCCAGCUUAUGUCCAUACACGGGUUUGUUCAGUCUGAUAGUGUUAUGAAGCAGCUACCUUUGAUGUUUGUCAUCAUGUCAUGGUGGCGCAAGGACGACUAUGUCGCUGUGCUUCGCCAGGUCAAAGACAUACUAGGUGAUGUGUCUGUCCAGGGAUUUGUCCUUGACUUUGAGGCUGCUGCUUGGGGUGCAGUCAGAGACGUUUUCCCGGGGUUGCAGAUCUAGGGAUGCAUGUUCCACUGGACACAGUCUGUGUGGCGUCACAUACAAACUAUUGGGCUAGGUCCAGCAUACAUGGAGCGCAAGUCAGUCUGGGAUUGGAUCCGUAAACUCCUUGUUCUACCAUUCCUGCCGAGCAAUCAUAUCGCAACGUUUAGCAGUCUAGCAGUGCGUGCUAACAAUGACCAACAGAAGGAGCUUGUCCGUUACAUCAGACAACAGUGGAUAGAGUCCGAGUUAUUUCCCAUUGAGAGCUGGUGUGUCUUCAGGUACAGGAUCUGCACGAACAUUGACGUUGAAGGUAAUAACUUAGCACUCUUAACCAGUUUAAUAUAUUUUAUAUGGCAAAGUCAAAGAAAAUGAUCUGUUUUAGAUCUACCUCACCAUAGACAAGUGGAUUUUAAAAUAACAUUCAAGCAUAGCAAUAAUUACAAACAACGAUUUGAAUUACACUUAAAUUUUAAAUACAUUGUACUUACAGACUUAGAUAAUACUGAUAUUUUUAAGAAUAAAGUAUUAUUAGAAAAAUUUAUUAGAAUAUAUAACACAUCACACAAGGAAUAUACAAGUGCAUUAUUACAGAGCAAUGAAGGGUUAGAUCAAUAAUCCCUUUUGAAUUAAAUUCUAUUUACUGUAUUCAAUUCUUUCAAAUACAUUAAUAUAAUUUCAUUUAUCUCCCUUUCAGGUUGGCACAACCGUCUAAACAGUGAUUGUGGGUACCAGUCACUAUCCUUCUACCAAAUGGUGCCAGCUCUGCGGAAACAGGCCCUUGAUGCCGAGAUCGACAUCGAUGAACUACUUGACCAUGGUGUUGGGAGACAACAGCGUCGCCA